rnacentral:rRNA from 1 species
AACGAACGCUGGCGGCAUGCCUAACACAUGCAAGUCGAACGAGACCUUCGGGUCUAGUGGCGCACGGGUGCGUAACGCGUGGGAACCUGCCCUUAGGUUCGGAAUAACUCCCCGAAAGGGGUGCUAAUACCGGAUAAUUUCUUCGGACCAAAGAUUUAUCGCCUUUGGAUGGGCCCGCGUUGGAUUAGCUAGUUGGUAGGGUAAAAGCCUACCAAGGCGACGAUCCAUAGCUGGUCUGAGAGGAUGAUCAGCCACACUGGGACUGAGACACGGCCGAGACUACUACGGGAGGCAGCAGUGGGGAAUAUUGGAAAAUGGGCGAAAGCCUGAAACAGCAAUGCCGGGUGAGUGAUGAAGGCAUUAGGGUUGUAAAGCUCUUUUAAACGGGAUGAUAAUGACAGUAACGGGAGAAUAAGCACCGGCUAACUCCGUG